rnacentral:lncRNA from 1 species
AUUCACUCUGAGCAAUUGAUCUUUGUUACCGCUCCUCUUCUUGAUUUGGAAAAGGUUCCCACUAUUCUAUUAUAUUAUAAUAGCAAUUGCUUAAUGUUUUCAGAUUGCAACCGUGAAAUCAAUCAUAACUUCCAAAUUAUUUUAUCUUUGGCUCUAUCGCUACCAGCGCGUCGAGGAAUGGAAAAUGCUCAAAAGAGGGUUCCACAAUCCUCAACUUGAGGUGCAUCGAUGUCCAGGUUACCUCUUCUUCCACUUUUUAAACCAAAAAAACUAUUAGGUUUGGCAAACCAUGCUCAUGGCGUGCACCAUCGACUAUUGUUGCGCUGCCUUUAAGUUAACAUUUACGUAUUUUAGCUUUAUAUCUACCAAAAGGAGCCUAGCUAAAAACCUCUGUAUCUUACCCCACUGGAACUCUCUUUCUUCAUAACCGCGACUGCCGCAGUCACCGAAUUGCCAAUAAGGCCUCUUUUAAGAAACCUAUUCUUGGUGGGUCUUACACACUCAAUCACUCUCUGUUCUAUCUUUUGAUUAUUUAUUUUUGGUUUUAUCUUAUAGUCUAUAUACAUUUUCUUUUGAAUCACAAAGGUUGAACCGCUGAAUAGAAUUUUAUAAUCAGGCAGUAUAAAAUGAGUUAUGACUUGUUAAAUUUCUAUUAUGAGUUUUUGUUUGAAUUUGGAUCUUAAGUUGUGACAUUAAAAUUAUGAAUUUUUUCAUUUGUUUUAAAAUGACAUUUAUAUUGUUUUUACGCACAUGUACAAGUGUUUUAGUAGGAGAAUGUAGGAUCAUAAUAUGAUGCCCAAGUCAGGAGUUUUUGCCACUUCCUGAUCUUACGUAGAAUCCCUUGACGCCCUUAUGCAUGAGUCAGUACCCUAAGUUAACAAAUUUAUUACGUCUUUGAAAAUCUGUGCAUCAAACAAGUAAGAAUUAUAAUCCUAAUCUGUGAACAAUUCAAGAACGUCAUUUUUAUUUUUUUUCAAUUUCAGAAGUUAUGCAUCUAUAUAACAACUGUUUCAUUGUAUUAUAUGUUAUUUGUUAAGAGAGGAAAGAUAGGAGAAAACUGGAGUGAUGGUACACUAUAAUGUCUUGUCUUCAAAACUGUAAUUAGAAAUUAGUUAUCAUACUGGUGUGGAAGUUGGAAGAUUAAAUGUAUGUGAUGUUGUCAAUUUGUAAUUGUUGAGAUGUUUUACUAUUUUUCUUAGAUGAAUCAUGCCAUCGCAUUGUGACUGUUGUUAAGAGGUUGGAUAUCUCAGUAAUGCCAUUGUGGCUUCUUUAUUGCUCAUACAUUUGAAUUUUUUGUUAGGCAUAAUUAGUAUAAUGCUCAUACAUUUGAAUUUUCUAUCAAGCAUAAAUAGUAUAAUGCUUUUCCUUUGAAUUCUAGUGCUAAUCUCAACAUGUAGUGUCAGGCUGUUGCUCUGCUUUGGAGUUUGAAUAGCUGAAACUAAUUGGCUUUGAAGGACAAGAAGGUGAACUUAUUUUUGAUGAUAUUUUCAUGGUUGAGAAUGUAGACCCGGAUGGUAAAAAGUAUGACAACGGUACGAGCACCUCUUAUUUCUUUGUAUCAUUUCAUUUCAUUUUUUUUAAAGAUCAAUCUACUUUAUAGUAUGGGUCCCUUGGAUAUGCAAAGCUAUCUUAUUGAGUUGAUAAUGUGAUAUUAAUACUUGGGAGAAGUAGUGUUGUAUGAUUUUUAACUUGAAAGUUGCCUCAACACGAAUAAUCGAUUAUUAGAAACUAUGACUCUAUUCUUUUUAUUGUUAGCGCUGUGGUAUUUUAUUAUUAUCUGAAAUCAUAAUGGGUUUUCAGAUUGAUAAAUAAAAUGUUAGUUUUAUUAUCUUUGAACUAUAUUUCUAAAUUUUAAAUAAGCUUUUGCUGGUUUUCAAUAAAAUAAAAUCUUUACAGGAUUGUUUCUCACAUAGGUAUAAGUCUAACUUGACUGUAACUGGUAGAUUCUUGCAGAAUCUAGAGGAGACCUUUUACUUGAU